rnacentral:lncRNA from 10 species
AAGUGUGAAACAGGAGGUUUGGCCCUCACCCCUCCUCUCUCUGGGAGAGUUAGGGGGUUUCCCCGCCCACGCCCUGAGAGACCAUCAACACCGUGCAGGCCGGUCUGUGCUUCACAGGGCUGGCUCCUGCCUUCCUCCUUUGUGAACUCAGGGAUUCAUGGAGCUAAGCCAUCAACACCUGGCUGAGAAGUAGGGCCUCUCCACCUUCCUCCCACUCUGCUCACAAAUGGCCCUGAGGAGUGUCAGAGAUCAAAGGGGCCAGCGCCCUGGCCUUCUGCUGCUCAGCCCCAUAACUGCCCUCAGAGGACGGGAAUUCACACCUGCUGGUGGUGGAGGGGGCCCAAGGUGUGGAGGACUGUGUUGGCUGCGGCAUCAUCUGCAAAGCCAAGAACUGAGACGCAGUUUCAGGACCAGACCUUUUCACUGGGGCCUAGAAUGUCAGCUCCCACAGCCACUUAAGGAAACAGAAGUAUGUGCAACAAUUUUACUCUGAAGGUAAAUGAAAUUCGUGACAAGCAGGGGCACAUGGAAAGUUCUAUGAGGAUUAGUUCAAUCCCAUUGGAGAAUCCAGAAAGAUUUCAUGGAUGAGGGAGGAUUUGUACUGGAUUUUGUUUGAGAAAAAAAGACUGCCUAGCCAAGUUACAUAGAAGGUACUUGGUAAAUGCUAAAUGGAAUAUCAAUAAACAAGUAAGUACUGAACCAGAUCGUGGCUUUGAUGUGUAAGCUCAAGAUAGAGUCAACAGUACAUGUGCAUGAGUGUGCAUGCCCGUGUGCACGUGUAAAUGAGAGCAUGAUCUGAACACAUGUGUGCUGGAGGGUGUGCACGUAUGCGUGCAUGUGUGUGUGCAGAUGAGUGUGCCCGUGUACAAAUAUGUGUGCAUGCCUGUGUGUGUGCAUGUUCUUCUGCACAGGUGACCUGCCCUCCCUCCUUUGUUGCUGCCCAUAGUUCCAGGGAGUUUCUGCCUCAAUCCCUCUCUCAGUAUGGUAAGCGGAACCCUGCCUUCUUCUUGGUAGCCCACUAUGCCAGAUUUAACUGUUUUAUGAUUAAAUAUCCUCCAUGCAACAUUAGGAAAGUCAGGAGUCCUAAAUAAGUCACGUGGUUUGGCACUUUAACAGCUGUGAUCUCAUAUGCGCUUCACAGUAACCCUAUGCAAUGGAGAUCAGUCAAUUAACAAUUGAGUUCAGCUGCCUGUCACUGAAAAGCUAAGGAACUGGAUGAAACCAGAUGUCAGGGUUUGCGUUCUCUCACAGAACGUGAAGUCCAAAGGAAGGCAUUUUGGAGCUGGUCACCAGGGAGCCAGCUGGGGUCCACCUUGUUUAGGGUCUAGAUGGGUGGUGUGCUGGCACAUCGUAGUGAAAAAUAGUGCUGCUUUCAUUUUACAGAUGAAAAACUCAGGCUUCCAGAGGCCAGGUUAUUUUGCCCCAAAUCACACAGUGAAGAAGAGCUGGGUCUGGAAUUCUAAGCCAGACUCUACACUCAAAUCUGUUUGACCCAAAGUCUGUGCACUUUCACAGACCAUAGGUAGACAAGCGUGUGUACUCACGUGGAGGAGGUGGGCUCAGAAGAAUCGAUGGCCACGGAGACCAUGUUCAUGCGUGGGCCAGGAGGAAUCUGGAGAGGCUGGAGCCUUAGACUCACUUUUAGUCUCGCUGUUUGACUGGAAUAAGCUGUCCUGUUCCUAAUCUCUGCAAGCAGACUGUUCUGGUGUCCCCAAGAUCACUCCCUUUGCUGUUUCAAGACAGGCAAGGGCUGGGUCUAGGGGUCCUGGCAGGUAGGGCUUUUCCGGUCUCCUGAGGUGCCACCAGCUACUGUCUGCUGAGGCUGCUCAGAUAUUUUCAUUCUAAUCCUUGAUAGCAGGCAUAGCUCUGCCGUUUAUAACCAUCCCAUCCACCUGACAUAGGUUCUUGCCGGGGGCGUUUGAAUUGGUGCCUCUCGGUCUGAUCCAACAGCCCACUGCGAUGCCCUGGCCAAGUGGCAGCCCUGAAAUGGUCCCAUUGAUAGGAAGGGUCCAGUACCGUCUGUGAUGCUGUGAAAAGCAUAGUGUUUCUCCUCGUUUCCCAGCAUUCCUGGAAAUAUAUGAAAUACAGGGCACUUUAUCUUGCCACAAAGUUAUUUUAAGAAGGAAAAUCAAUUUUAUUUUAUUUUAUUUUGUUUUUUGAGAUGGAGUCUGGCACUGUCACCCAGGCUGGAGUGCAGUGGCGUGAUCUUGGCUCACUGCAACCUCCGCCUCCCGGGUUCAAGCGAUUCUCCUGCCUCAGCCUCCUGAGUAGCUGAGAUUACAGGUACCAACGACCACGCCCAGCUAAUUGUUUUGUAUUUUUAGUAGAGAUGAGGUUUCUCUAUGUUGGCCAGGCUGGUCUCGUACUCCUAACCUCGUGAUCCACCCACCUUGGCCUCCCAAAGUCCUAGGAUUACAGGCUUGAGCCACCACACCCGGCCAAAAUCAAUUUUAAAAAUCCUACAAAACACACACUGUAAAUGCCGAGAUGUAUCUGUAUGUAGACCCUGAAGGUUGCACUGCGACCACUUCUGCAAAGCUGCUCACUCCACCUGCCUGCCUCACCUACUUCCUGCAGGGCUGUGCCUGCUCCUCAAUUCACAUGUCCAGUUUUUCUGGGACUCUAUUGAAUGCCCUAAUUCCCAUCCUUUCCUAGAGCCCUGUCUUUCUAAGCUAUAUGGCUCCUUCUUUUUCAGGCCUUGGAGAAGGUUGAACAGAUGUCACUGAAGUCACAUCCCUCCUUCCUUCACUGACAGUUCCCUCCGUGGCUGACACUUAGUGCUGGGUGUCUCCUCCCACUGCCAGGAGGUACAAGCUGCCUGCAGGCUUCCACCAGAGGCAGCUGCUGACAGACAGAUGCUCACACUGCCAAGGGCAGAGAUGCUGCUCCUCUGCCAGCUGCCCCAUCUUGUCUCUCUGCCUGCCCAGGCUCUGGUGCUCACAGUUGAACUUGACAGGUUCUUUUCCAGGCUCCUCAUAAGACUUUUUCCAUCCAAUAUUCAGGCCCCCUUUCCUCCAGGAGCAACCACAGGACCCGGCCACGAGCUCAGCUCUGUUUCUGCACCUGGCAGAAUGCCUGACGUACAGCAGUUGCUUGGGAAACAAAGUUUAGCUGGUGAGUGAACAAAAAGGUGCUGCAAGGCAGUGACCCUCCUGGAUCUCUACACAGCUGCCUGAAACAAAACCCUGCAUGCACCCUGCAAGAGAAUUCUGAAAACCUGGAGCCCACCACACACACACAGAAAUAAAACUCCUCUGCUUGUGCCCCUAAGAGAAUUCUUAAAACUAGGAAGCACCCCCAUUUUGAAAUAAAACUCUGCUUCACUCCCUAAGAGAAUUCUUAUAACUGGGAACCUAGGAACCCCCUCCUAGGUGGGUUCCUAGCGUAGCAUGUGGCUGAAUUCUACACUGUAAAUGUGCUGAGUGCGGCCGAAUUCUACACUGUAAAUGUGCUGAGUGCGGCCGAAUUCUACACUGUAAAUGUGCUGAGUGUGGCCGAAUUCUACACUAUAAAUGUGUUACAUGUGUCUGAAUUUUAUCCUUUGAAAUGGUUAAUGUUAUGUUUCUUUAAUUUCACCUCAAUAAAAAAUUCAUUUAAAAAAAUAUAUUGUGACCGUAAGCCACUAAUUUUGUGUUUUUUAAAUUUUUGCCAUGGAUCCCUUUGGUGAUCUGGUGAAACCCAUAGACCUCUUCUCAGAAUAAUGUCCUUAAAUGCAGAAAGUAAAAUACACAAGAUCAAAAAGGAAAACAAGUGUACCAAAAUACACCCAUCAAAUGAGCUUAAUCAUGGUACAGUCACACAUGUGCCUCUUUAACACAUCGUGCUGGUAUGAUAGAUACCGGUUUUCGUACAAGGCUCCUGGCUCAUAACUCCCACGCCUCUUGUUACAGUCUUUUGUUAUAACCUUGGCUGUGUUAGGUCUCAGGGGCAGCCUCUGACCUCUUGC